rnacentral:misc_RNA from 1 species
ACCGACGACGGCGACUACAACAUCAAGCUGCGCAACAUCCGCCGUUUCCUGGCCGAUGGUGACAAGUGCAAGAUCACGCUGCGGUUCCGCGGCCGUGAAAUCACGCACCAGCAGAUUGGUUUGGACCUGCUGAACCGUCUGCGUGACGAUCUGGCGGAUUCCAUCCAGGUGGAGCAGUUCCCCAAGCUGGAAGGCCGCCAGAUGGUGAUGAUGAUCGCCCCUGCGCGCAAGAAGCCCACAGCUGGCGGCAAGCCGGCAGAAGUUUCUGCUGCACCUGCGGUGGCUGAUAAGGCAUAAUCGCGGUUUCGCCCUUCGUUGAGGGGCGAC